UGCAAGUCGAACGAUGAAGCCCUUCGGGGUGGAUUAGUGGCGAACGGGUGAGUAACACGUGGGCAAUCUGCCCUGCACUCUGGGACAAGCCCUGGAAACGGGGUCUAAUACCGGAUAUCACUCUUGCAGGCAUCUGUGAGGGUCGAAAGCUCCGGCGGUGCAGGAUGAGCCCGCGGCCUAUCAGCUUGUUGGUGAGGUAAUGGCUCACCAAGGCGACGACGGGUAGCCGGCCUGAGAGGGCGACCGGCCACACUGGGACUGAGACACGGCCCAGACUCCUACGGGAGGCAGCAGUGGGGAAUAUUGCACAAUGGGCGAAAGCCUGAUGCAGCGACGCCGCGUGAGGGAUGACGGCCUUCGGGUUGUAAACCUCUUUCAGCAGGGAAGAAGCGAAAGUGACGGUACCUGCAGAAGAAGCGCCGGCUAACUACGUGCCAGCAGCCGCGGUAAUACGUAGGGCGCAAGCGUUGUCCGGAAUUAUUGGGCGUAAAGAGCUCGUAGGCGGCUUGUCACGUCGGGUGUGAAAGCCCGGGGCUUAACCCCGGGUCUGCAUUCGAUACGGGCUAGCUAGAGUGUGGUAGGGGAGAUCGGAAUUCCUGGUGUAGCGGUGAAAUGCGCAGAUAUCAGGAGGAACACCGGUGGCGAAGGCGGAUCUCUGGGCCAUUACUGACGCUGAGGAGCGAAAGCGUGGGGAGCGAACAGGAUUAGAUACCCUGGUAGUCCACGCCGUAAACGGUGGGAACUAGGUGUUGGCGACAUUCCACGUCGUCGGUGCCGCAGC
rnacentral:rRNA from 1 species